CCCCUAGUAACGGCGAGUGAAGAGGGAAAAGCUCAAAUUUUGAAUCUGGUGUCUGUGACGCCCGAGUUGUAAUCUAGAGAAGUGUUUUCCGUGUCGGACCGUGCACAAGUUCCCUGGAACGGGGCGUCAUAGAGGGUGAGAAUCCCGUAUAUGGCACGGACUGCCGAUGCUCUGUGAUACACUCUCAACGAGUCGAGUUGUUUGGGAAUGCAGCUCAAAAUGGGUGGUAAAUUCCAUCUAAAGCUAAAUAUUGGCGAGAGACCGAUAGCGAACAAGUACCGUGAGGGAAAGAUGAAAAGCACUUUGGAAAGAGAGUGAAACAGUACGUGAAAUUGUUGAAAGGGAAGCGUUUGAAGUCAGUCAUGUCUGGCGGGAUUCAGCUUGGCUUCUGCCGAGUGUACUUUCCGUCCGACGGGUCAGCAUCAAUUUCGACCGAGGGAAAAAAGACGUGCGGAAUGUGGCUGUCUUCGGGCAGUGUUAUAGCCCCGCGUUGUAUGCCUUGGGUUGGGAUUGAGGAACGCAGCGCGCCUAUAGGCCAGGGGCUACCCGCCUCUUGACACGCGCUUAGGAUGCUGGCAUAA
rnacentral:rRNA from 1 species